rnacentral:lncRNA from 1 species
UUUUCUUGUCGCGGACGUCUCUUUCACUGCUCAUCCUUCUUCUUCCGGCCAUCAGUCUCACCGCUCGCCUUUAGCUCUUUUACUCUCCAGCAACCGUCUCCUGCCAUCAGCCAGGCGUGCGCAACUCAUACAGCAGCAGUUCCAACGAAGCACAUCAGUUGUGCGGUCGUGCCUUAACGUUGGACCUCCACUUCCACUCCCUCUCUUUGGUCGAGCUUCACCUGUUCGCCGAUCUGGCUGCCCGUCGUCCUCUCCAUGUCCCGCGCCUUGGUCCGGUCUCGGCUGCUGUUAACCAUCGCGUCCGGACAUCAGUGCAUGUCACCUUCGGUUUCUCCCUGCCCAUUCCAUGUCAUGGUAGGCUUGUAUCGGCCAUCGACCCCACGCUCAUCCUCGCAACCUCACUGCAACGUCGUCGUUCUCCCAGUUCUGCGCGAACGUCUGUGGUAGCGGUGGCUGGUAUGGUUGCUUGUUUGAAUGUAUGCGUAGUUCUGAGAGAGUCUAGAGACUUUGCAUUUCAUGUCCUUACAUAAGCAUCCAUGUAUUUGCAAUUGACUUGUAGAACACCUAGAGAAGAAGCGGUUUCUGAAGAAGGAGUUCACUUCAGAGCCUAUUGAUCCAGUGGUGGAAUCCCAUCUAACUAAUUAUCAUGAUAGAAAGGUUUUGGAUCUUCUCUGCAACAAGGCAAGCCCCGGUGCAUUUGCCACCUCCCUUGUGUUUACAAAAUUUUAUCACUUAUAUGCUGCAUUAGAUGAUAGGAGUUGAUUGAUUAAACACUUGAUGCAUUACCAUCCUUGAAAAAUUGAUUACCAUACCUUGUCACCUAUUUUAUAAAAGCUAGAGAUGCUUAGUCAUGCUGAUAGACUAAGAAAAAUGUUUUUGAUCUAUGACUCAUGUUUUUACAAAAAAGAAAAUGGGCUUGGGAUAAUGAAGGCAUCAAGACGUUGAUAAAUUCAUUAUCCAGGCAUGGCCCCUCUGCCAGGCGCCAAAAUUUUGAAAUAGUUUAAAAUGGGACCAGACGCUGAGCAGGAAAAGUCGCCCGUCUGUGUCGAUUAAGGAUCGUACCGAUUGUUGGCCUGCUGAUCUAGGACCCUUUAUCUGGCCACAUACCUCGUCAUGGGUAAGCCUGAACCCGGCUAAUCCAUACAUGAAAAGACAAUCGCGCACUGGGAGUGGAGAGAUGGCGAGAGUGGCACGUACCCUCCUGGCAAAGGACCGCCUAAAAGGGGUGGUGUGCUCUCGGGUGGCGCGGACCUGUUCAUGUGGUGGAGGAUCCGUGGGAAUGGUAGACAUGUGCAAAAGAGUUAAGGCAAGCAUAUGUCGUGUGGUUGGAGAUCCCCAGCUGGGUAUUAAUCGAUUCGGAUCGCCGAACUUCUCGGAUAUGAAGACUGAAUCUUCGACCUUCAUCGUAGAUAACAAGCGAAACAAAAUUUGGAUUUUAAAAGCAACCUAGUGUAGGUCAAGUGAAUGAUCUAGAUUAGGCAAAUGCUAGAUUCAGGCUAGAAGAUUCAGGUAAUAAACUAACUUUUGAAAUAAAACUUGGCUUAAGGACCCACUUCUAGUAAGCUUUUCUGCAAAAUGAGUCCUUGAACUUUGAUGAGCUUUACCUUGAUUCCCAAAAGCCAGCAUACCCUUGAGAGUCUUUUCCUUAGUCGGGUAAGUCUUGCUGAGUAAUUGCAUACUCAGGGUUUUAUCCCUUGUUGUUUUUGUAGGAGAAGUUUUAUUCCCUUAUCCUUUGGGUAGUUACUUCAUGUGGAGGACUUGAAGCUUAGAAUGUUUUUAUAUAUCUCUUAUGGAAAGGCUUCACCCUUCCAAUUAUUGUAAUAAGUUAUGCACUUCGAGUACUAUCAAGACUUGUAAUAAAUACAUCUCUUUCUACAAUGUAAAACUUGAGUUUUGGAAUGUAAAGUGUACUUUGUAAAAGUCUUCCGCUCUAUCUCCAAUGUGUGUGUAUCAAAUGUGAUUACUGUAAUAUACCUGUUAUGUGGGAGAUCCUUGGGAUGAUGAGUUCCAGUUAGCGAACUCGAUAGCCUUGUUAAGUUACCCGGUGCACGUGCACAACCAUCUGAGGCCAGUAAGGCAAGGAUUGGUGCAUGUGGGCCUGAUAACUUGGGAGGGCUGUCACAGCGUGGUAUCGGAGCGAUCCCCCAUUAGCAUGGAUAUUAAAGUAAUCCUUUGAUAAACUUCAAAAUGAUUUUGAGUCUAAAUCACUUUGGAAAAAACUUAAUAAUGGAUAAGCAAAGCCUGAUAGUAGAAGUGCAAAUAGUAUAUGGUUAAAACUAAGGACUAUAAGGUGGCCUAGUUUAAGAUGUUAACCACUAACCCACAACAGGGUAGGGAACUGCAUACAUGUGUAAUGUUAUUUUGGGGCCAUUCUGUUUUGAAUGGAUCGACGCUCAGGUAAGGUGAGUUGUGAGAGCAUGACCGAACAAACGUCGGUCUAGGGGAGUACUUAAUUGUGGCACUGGACUAUAUACAUAUUACACAUAUGUAUAUAUGAAGGUUGCAUUGUGGAGUAAUAUUUUUUCUGGGAAUUCAGUACCCAUAGAUGUGUAAGGGUAUACAAACAUGGGAAUACUGAGAAGUGUAAUGUACUUGUAAUGACGCACCUACGCGCAGGUAAGAUGGUAAGUUACCACAAUGGGCUGCCCUGUGGUUAAAAGUGUGGCAGCGGCGCCUAUGUGUGGCUCGGCGCUUAAUGAGGAGCUGGCCUCCAUAUAGAAAUAUAUGGAGUAUAAACUGUGACCAAAUGUGUGAAUUGCAUCAUGGGGUUUGGGCUGUAAUGGAAUUUUCUGCAGGUACACUGACUAAACUUUAGGAAAUUACGACUAGUUAACUCCGGAGUGAGUAGGUAUGCCACCGCCAUAGAGCGUGCAAGCCACUAUAUGCUGGCAAGAUUGUGAGGACGAAUAGGACGAGCAUGCAUCAUGACAUAUAACUUUAAGUUAAACCCCCUAUGUAGUAGCCUUAGUACGUGUUUCGUCUACCCUGUUCAUGUUGUCUGUCUUUGCCUUUCUAUGCUACCUUUCCUUGUUUUUGAAGACUGGAAGCCAAGUUUAGUUGGUGGGCAGAAUACCUUGCGCUGCAGCCAGAAGGAUGUUAAGUUCUCGGGUUGAGUUCUGUGAGGUAUUUCGGGCACGUCAUGUUCCAGAAGCCCCAAUGCAAAUAAAGUUCAAAGCGUUUUUGGAUCUAAAGCAAGGUGAAGAAGCGAGUGUAAUGGACUAUUUGAGAGGUUUACUCGCCUAUCCCAGUAUGUUUAGGAUUAUGUGGACGCCAGUGAGAAAAAAAAAUUAAUACAUCCUACGUGAUUUUAUGUGAAACUUAGGCUCCUGAUGGCAAUUAGUUUGGUUAAAGGAUAUAAGGAGAUGGUCAGUCAGGCUAUUCUAGGAAAUAAUAAGAUUCGUCUACAUCAGGAGUUUAAGUGAAUGAAGUAAAGGAUAUACCUGAUGUGAGGGAGUUCUCGGAUGUGUUCCUCAAAGAUUUGACUAGUUGCCUCCAUAAAGGAAUGUGGAAUUGCGAUUGGGUUGCAGUCCGGGACUCCAUUCACCCUGAAGGUAGCAAUAGGUACCAAGGCUUGAAACAGAGAUUUUGGUGGACCUAUAGCUUAUAAGGUACAAUUACCAAAAAGGACCUUCAACAGUGCACGAUGUGUUCCACGUGUCCCAAUGGAAGAAAUGUCUUCGAGUACCCAUAUAUGGUAUUGAGAUUUUAGAUGUUAACCAUAAACCAGGUUUAACCUCCUCGGAAUAUCCCAUAAAUGUGUUAGAUCAAAAGGAUCGGGUCACUCGAAGAAAAGUUAUUGAGUUUUACGAGAUACAGUGGAACUAACACCCAGAAGAUAAAGUGAUGUAGCAAUCAGAGAAGUAUUUGGAAAAGUAUAUUCCUGAGUUCCUAGUGUCUUGUAAACCCUAGGUUUGUAUAAGUUUUCUUUCGAUGGGGGCACACCCCCUGCCUUGUAGGAGUAACCGAGAAAUAAACCGGCGACGCAUUUCCUUUUCGAUUACUUGGCCUAGAAUUUUAAUCUCGGGACGAGAUUCCUUUUUAGGGGGGAAGGAUGUAACACCCCUGGUGUUACGAGAACUAAAAAUUCGGCAUGUCAUCAUAUGCACUCGCAUUAUCUUGUUUGAUAUCCCUAGAAUGCAUUUUACUAGGUCAAAAAUUCAACUCAAAUGUGGUGUGUUGUGUUGUUGUGAGCCAGGGAAGAUUAAAAACCCUGUCUGCAAUCAAGUUUAAGUGCACCACUUCUAAACCAGUGUCAUUUUGGACAUGAGAUAUAUACACCAAAGUGGGAUCUUAGGUUAAGGAGUAACUCUACUCUUAAGUGAUGAACCCAAAGUGGUGAGAUUGUUGGAGAAAAGCAAUCCCAAUUGAAACCUUAAACUAGCCCAAAAGUGGAUUUUAAGAUCUAGCUAUGUUUUGCUAAAAGUCCAUAUACCAAAGUUAUGGAGCUUGGAAAAGGGAACAAUUUUCAUAAUUGGAGCUCUCCAAGUGGUGUGGAAGAAUUCGAAGUAAAUUGCAAAAGUUCAGAUUUGGGUCGGUUUGGAAUCAGCCCAAAACAGUUUUGUUUUUCUGUUUUUGGAUUCCUAUAACUUUCAAUCCAUGAGUAUUUUGAAAACAGUUGCUACAACAAACCUGUAGAGUAACUAUAGGAGAACAAUGUUUAUGAGAUGUGGUAGCCCUAAAACCGUAUAGAACUAGGUGUAAAACUGGUCCAAAGUGGGAAUAUCAGAAUCUGAAUUUCAGACUGCAAUAUCUGAAACUGAAGAUUUUACAUUCUGAAGCAACUUUGAAAGCCUGUUGGUGGCUGAUCCAUACAACUAUGGGUUAAGGUUUAUGUACCAAAGUGAAAGAUCACAUGUUGGGGUAUAUGUUUGGUUAAGGUAAAUACCCCGGAAACUAUUUGGAACUGGUAGAAACAGUAGUCCAAAAGUGUAGUGUUUAAUUCUGGAUUUUCAGACUAAGUGAAAAACCAAAGUCUGAAUUUGUGUGUUUAAUGCUAACUUUGGCCUUCGAUGGUUUGGAGUCCGUGGGGUUCUAGCUAGGGGUCGUUGUACCAAACUUGUAGAGCACCAUGUGGAGCACCAAUUUGAUUAAUCCACUUGGCCUUAGAAGCAUUUGGAACCAGGAGAAAAAGGUGACUAAAGAGGGACUAUCAGAAUUCUGAAUUUUUCAGAUUUGUGAAUAGUAUCUGAAUCUGAAAUCUGUAUUUUUAGUGCAGUUUUGGGGCUGUGUGCUGCCUGUUCUAUGCAGUUUUGGACCAUGCUUGCUAUGGAAGAGUUGAAGAGCAUAUGUCAGUGAAUAACUUUCGUUGUGUGCGCUAGGCUUGAUCUGACCCAGAACAUGGAGUAAAAGUUACUGAAAACUGGGCUGUCAGUUUACAUGGACUGAACUUUUGCUCAGUUAACAGAACUGAAUUUUAGUGAGUUUUGCUCAACUUUGGAGCUUUCUUAUCACUAAUCCAUGGAGUUAUGGGUUGUAGUCUCUAUAGAAAAGUUAAAGAACAUAUAAUGAUGAGCAAGUUUGUUGAAGUGUGUCUGGCCUAAUGCUGCAUGAAAAGUGGAGUAAAAUGUGCUUGAACUUUCACUGUCAGGCGUGUGAUGUGCAGUUUCAGAUUCAGUCAGCUGAAGCCGAGCUGCAGUAUUUUCACCUAACUUUAGAGCACUAUAACUUUUGAUCCAUAUAUUUUUGACCUAGGGUUACUGCAGUAAGUUUGUAGAGCCAUGUUUUGUCAAUAAGUUUGAUUAACUGAGAUCUCCCUGUUACCACUGAAGUUUGUGAGUAAUUGAACUCAAAGUUCUUUGUCAGAUAGAUGUGUACUGAACUUCGAUCAGCUAGCUGAAACCCAGUUCUUAUCUUUGUUGGCCGAAUUUGGAGCUCACUAACCCAGAGUUUUUUUGAGCUUUAGUUAGUAACCAUUAAAGCAAAGAUGGAGAGUGAAUGUAGUGGAAUAACUCUUAGUAAGGAAGCAUUUGGGGUCAUCACAUGAAUUUGAGAGAAUGUUGUAAUGAAGGUUUCAGGUUCAUGCGUUAAGUAGUGUGUUUUUCUCCUCCUUGAUCCAUCUUUAUUUCUUGAUUUGUGCCCCUUUGAGGUUGAUCCCUGAAGCAAAGAGUAAGAGUGUGGUCUGGUCAGCAAGUUGUAUUAUAGCUGAUAUCUCUGUCACCACUUGGAAUAACGAGGUUUAACGGGAUUAAGUUGGGGGUUCAGUUGGGCAUCGAGUUCGGUCCAGUGGCUGAAACCAUAGUUCAGUCUGGUGUCGAAUUCAGUUUCAAGUGACUAAAAUCUGGUUUGAGUUAUGGGAGUAGAAAGCUAUCAACGCUGCAGCCAUCCUCACCUUGUUUUAAUAAAUUGAAGCUAUGAUUUAAGAUGUGAAGGGCUGGUAAUUAAAAAGGAAUCCAAGCAAAUCCAGUAACUGGGAGUGUGUGGCUGAAACUUGUUUCAGUUUUGGGGAGGCGCUGUGCGUGCUCAAGCUACGCGUCGGCUGGUGUCUGCCUUGCCUCCUGUGUGGACACCGCUAAAUCCAAACUUUUGCCGCUUAACUGAAGCCAGAUUUGCUUGCGCCAUUCCAUCGCGGCCACGUAUCCAAACUCGACCGGUGCUGGCUCUAUAGCGCUCCUUCCACUGUGAUAAGAAUAGCCACGUGCAACUUCCUGCUUCUUCCGAACCAUACACGACGAGUAUUCCUGGCCCUAGCAUCUUCCCUGUAACGCUUGCCUCACUUCGUCUCUCCCAGCCACCCUCUGAUUUUCUUGUCGCGGACGUCUCUUUCACUGCUCAUCCUUCUUCUUCCGGCCAUCGGUCUCACCGCUCGCCUUUAGCUCUUUUACUCUCCAGCAACCGUCUCCUGCCAUCAGCCAGGCGUGCGCAACUCAUACAGCAGCAGUUCCAACGAAGCGCAUCAGUUGUGCGGUCGUGCCUUAACGUUGGACCUCCACUUCCACUCCCUCUCUUUGGUCGAGCUUCACCUGUUCGCCGAUCUAGCUGCCCGUCGUCCUCUCCAUGUCCCGCGCCUUGGUCCGGUCUCGGCUGCUGUUAACCAUCGCGCCCGGACAUCAGUGCAUGUCGCCUUCGGUUUCUCCCUGCCCAUUCCAUGUCAUGGUAGGCUUGUAUCGGCCAUCGACCCCACGCUCAUCCUCGCAACCUCACUGCAACGUCGUCGUUCUCCCAGUUCUGCGCGAACGUCUGUGGUAGCGGUGGCUGGUAUGGUUGCUUGUUUGAAUGUAUGCGUAGUUCUGAGAGAGUCUAGAGACUUUGCAUUUCAUGUCCUUACAUAAGCAUCCAUGUAUUUGCAAUUGACUUGUAGAACACCUAGAGAAGAAGCGGUUUCUGAAGAAGGAGUUCACUUCAGAGCCUAUUGAUCCAGUGGUGGAAUCCCAUCUAACUAAUUAUCAUGAUAGAAAGGUUUUGGAUCUUCUCUGCAACAAGGCAAGCCCCGGUGCAUUUGCCACCUCCCUUGUGUUUACAAAAUUUUAUCACUUAUAUGCUGCAUUAGAUGAUAGGAGUUGAUUGAUUAAACACUUGAUGCAUUACCAUCCUUGAAAAAUUGAUUACCAUACCUUGUCACCUAUUUUAUAAAAGCUAGAGAUGCUUAGUCAUGCUGAUAGACUAAGAAAAAUGUUUUUGAUCUAUGACUCAUGUUUUUACAAAAAAGAAAAUGGGCUUGGGAUAAUGAAGGCAUCAAGACGUUGAUAAAUUCAUUAUCCAGGCAUGGCCCCUCUGCCAGGCGCCAAAAUUUUGAAAUAGUUUAAAAUGGGACCAGACGCUGAGCAGGAAAAGUUGCCCGUCUGUGUCGAUUAAGGAUCGUACCGAUUGUUGGCCUGCUGAUCUAGGACCCUUUAUCUGGCCACAUACCUCGUCAUGGGUAAGCCUGAACCCGGCUAAUCCAUACAUGAAAAGACAAUCGCGCACUGGGAGUGGAGAGAUGGCGAGAGUGGCACGUACCCUCCUGGCAAAGGACCGCCUAAAAGGGGUGGUGUGCUCUCGGGUGGCGCGGACCUGUUCAUGUGGUGGAGGAUCCGUGGGAAUGGUAGACAUGUGCAAAAGAGUUAAGGCAAGCAUAUGUCGUGUGGUUGGAGAUCCCCAGCUGGGUAUUAAUCGAUUCGGAUCGCCGAACUUCUCGGAUAUGAAGACUGGAUCUUCGACCUUCAUCGUAGAUAACAAGCGAAACAAAAUUUGGAUUUUAAAAGCAACCUAGUGUAGGUCAAGUGAAUGAUCUAGAUUAGGCAAAUGCUAGAUUCAGGCUAGAAGAUUCAGGUAAUAAACUAACUUUUGAAAUAAAACUUGGCUUAAGGUCCCACUUCUAGUAAGCUUUUCUGCAAAAUGAGUCCUUGAACUUUGAUGAGCUUUACCUUGAUUCCCAAAAGCCAGCAUACCCUUGAGAGUCUUUUCCUUAGUCGGGUAAGUCUUGCUGAGUAAUUGCAUACUCAGGGUUUUAUCCCUUGUUGUUUUUGUAGGAGAAGUUUUAUUCCCUUAUCCUUUGGGUAGUUACUUCAUGUGGAGGACUUGAAGCUUAGAAUGUUUUUAUAUAUCUCUUAUGGAAAGGCUUCACCCUUCCAAUUAUUGUAAUAAGUUAUGCACUUCGAGUACUAUCAAGACUUGUAAUAAAUACAUCUCUUUCUACAAUGUAAAACUUGAGUUUUGGAAUGUAAAGUGUAC